CGGUGUCGUGCUGAGCAUUUAUAGAGAAGCAGGCGACAGCAGAAAGUCUCUCUUCAUCUCUACCUCCACCUCCAACCGGCCCGUUUCAGCUCCUCAACUGCAAGCAGGAGAGCUACACACCUUGGAUACGAGUUAACCUGUGUUGUAGUUGGUGAUUUGCUUCAAGGAAAAUGCAUCCUCCUUUGGCAUUGCAUAUGCAUCCAAUGUGUGCUGAAGUGAGUUUCCCUUUAUGCCUUUCUUUUCUUGUUAUUGUUCAAUUGUCCCUAGGAUUUGUGAUGCUAAUGGGAAAACUCAGUUUUUUCUCUUGCAUUUAAUCUUGGAUGGAUCACUCAUAACUUUACGUAUUUGUUGGAGUGGGGUCAGUGGUAGGAGAGAGGGGCAUAAUGUUUGUUGGAUUAAAGGGCCAACUGUGAUGCUGUGAGUAACUUUAUGGGAAGGGUAAAGUUCAUAAUUUUAACUGGUAACUUAAUUUAUAAGGAGAAAAAUCAACAUUUCCUAUUGCUGGUGAUCCGCACCUUUUGCCCUCUGCCUCUUCUGCUGUAGGGUGGGUGGAGAUUUGGCUUUGUUUCCAAUCUCUUGCACAGAGGUUUAAGAUAGUGCCUCAUCUAUGACAAAUGAACAGAGAUCUUUUUAUUGCAUCUGGUUGUAGCUUGUAGGUCAGAGAUCAAAGGCCACUGUAAAACUUUAUACACAAAACAUUCAAACUUCAUCUUUAAAUUGUGUUUCUUAUGGUAUUUGGUCCUGAAUAAAGCAGAAUCGGAAUUAUGAUUCGUUAACAGAAGUAUGUGUAGCAUAUUACGGAGACUGUAAUUGUGAUGCUUUAUCAAGGGAAGUGAAACCAAUGCAACUCCUGUGCCAUUUUUGCCUACUAUAUUGUACAGGGUUUUGGUGAUAAUCUUCUGCUGUUUAAAGCUUUCAUUUUGCUUAAUCAAGCAACAAAAAUGUUUUGCAGAUUAUUGAACAAUUCCAACAGUGUCAUUUGGACCAUCCCAUUGGAAAAUUCUUUGGCAAAUGUACAGACCUCAAAAUAAAGCUUGAUCGAUGUUUUCAGGAGGAAGUGAGUAAUUAUUAUGUUUGUCUCUUGUUCAUCUAGUUAAAAUAUAGACCUUGACUUUGCAUUAAAAUUUUGAAGUCGUCCCAGUCCUGCAUAAAGCUGUGAAGCGGAAGGCAAAUUUUGAACAAAGUAACAAACUUAAAGGAAGGCUUCAGACAUUAAGGAAGGAAGCUGCUGAGAGAAGCCCCGAGGACUAAAGAGAAGAAUUUUAUGUGAGCUUAACAAACAAAGUGGGAGGUGUUGUCUGAAACUCUCCUAGAUUCUGAAUUUAGAUUCUAUACAACUUUAUGUUGUGGCUUAGUGAACAUAGAAUGGCCUUUGAGGGAUGAUCUGGAUUGCAGUUCAUUGCAUAUUGUGCUAUGAUAUAGUGUCUGUCAUUUUUUCUUGGGAGGGAAAAAUAAUUUGAUUCCCUGUAGAAAGCUUGUAAAAGAUCAUGAACUUUAGAUUAAUCUGUUUGUACAAUUGCCAGGAGACAUUAAUUGUGUCAUUUCAGGUUAUUAAUUGAGUUAUAAAUUUCAUUUGCUAUGGUUCAAAAAA
rnacentral:misc_RNA from 1 species